UAAGAAAAUGACACAUUCAGCGUCUUCUGGUUUAAGAUGAACAAAGGGAAUAUUUGAGAACCUGUUAAAAUCACCCAGCUCCAAGACACAAGAGCGUGUGCUGCAUCACGUGUGUGGAAAGGAAGCGGCUGUGUGGACGCAGGGCCCCUGUGCAGCUGAAGGCGCCUCAUGUGAUCCUGGGCUCACCCCGACUGCGGCCCCAGCCCUCUUGCCUGAGCGCCUUGAGAGGAGCUUGAGAAGUGUUUACCGGAUACACUUUCUACGCUGACGUCUCAGUCUGUUUCUUCAUCGGUUUAAGUAGAUGCAAAACGUCGUCUAAACGGUGCCACCAAGACAUUGUCUGAACGGAACCACCGACCCCCCAUUUUCUUCAGGUGAGAAAUUUUAUGCCGUUUCUUCCUGCCCUUGUGUCUCCACCUCGCCUCACUCCAGGCAUCGUCAGAACGGAGCCACUGACCCCCGAGCAUUUUUAUUGAUCACUGCUGCCCUCUGUGCUCGAAUUUUGUAUUUUAAUGAUUUUCUGGGGUCCUGAAUUUACAAAUGUGAAACUCAGUGUCCUGGAUUGUUCCGACCUCACAGCCAUUGAGACACAAUACGUCAGGACAUCGUGGCUCUAACACUUGUUAGAUGGACGAGCGUGGUGCUUUUAGAAGUGGGUCUCCGGCGAGGUCCGUCCGCUCCCGUGAGGAGGUGAGGGGCCUGUUCUGAGCGAUCCGCAGCUCCCUUUUGCUAACGGGGAUGUGGCAGCAGUGCCGAGCUCUGUCCCGGCCACGCUGGGUGCCAGCAGCCCUGGGUGUGAGCCUGCACGACUCUUGCCCACCCUGCAGACCUGUACACGGGUGCGUGACCAGGACGAGCGGCCAUCCCGGAGACCCUCAGGCAGGGCCGCCGCAGGCUCGAGGUGGGUCUCAGGCUGGGAGGGGCAGUCCUCCACCCGCUGGGGCAGCUCGGGGUGAGGGUGCGCCCAGGACGAUGUGGGUUGGCCAGGUGACAGCCACCUGUCCUUGUG
rnacentral:lncRNA from 1 species